GGGGGUGUUUUUUGGAUUCGACACUCAGUUUUAGGCGGUAUAAGCACGUCGUAGGCUCGGCUACGUCAUCAACGGAAAUUAAAAUUAAAUGCAAAAAACAAUCAAAAGAGCUCCACAAUGGAGUUCGCUCUUGCUGCGUAAUUAACCUGUAGCACGUCGCCCCGAGGUUUUCUGUUCCCUUGGCAAGCGGCGUCAGAAAAACAGACAACGCGACUUGAUUGCUCGGUAGAGUCGUUGUCAUCACGAGCUUAUCAAACGGCGGUUUGCAAAUGAACCAAAGGGCGAAACAUUCAAUCAUUUGCUAAACGUGUAGAAAGUGCCGAAGACGGCUGUUUGGACCGGGGUUCAAAUCCCCGCAUCUCCACCA
rnacentral:tmRNA from 1 species